rnacentral:rRNA from 1 species
AUGCACGCUGGCGGCGUGCCUCAUCCCUGCCAGUCGCGCGCACAGAUGAGGAGCUUGCUCCUCUGACGUUAGCGGCGGACGGGUGAGUAACACGUGGAUAACCUACCUAUAAGACUGGGAUAACUUCGGGAAACCGGAGCUAAUACCGGAUAAUAUAUUGAACCGCAUGGUUCAAUAGUGAAAGACGGUUUUGCUGUCACUUAUAGAUGGAUCCGCGCCGCAUUAGCUAGUUGGUAAGGUAACGGCUUACCAAGGCAACGAUGCGUAGCCGACCUGAGAGGGUGAUCGGCCACACUGGAACUGAGACACGGUCCAGACUCCUACGGGAGGCAGCAGUAGGGAAUCUUCCGCAAUGGGCGAAAGCUUGACGGAGCAACGCCGCGUGAGUGAUGAAGGUCUUCGGAUCGUAAAACUCUGUUAUUAGGGAAGAACAAAUGUGUAAGUAACUAUGCACGUCUUGACGGUACCUAAUCAGAAAGCCACGGCUAACUACGUG